UUACCGGAACUACUAAAGUGGAAGUCGACGUAGUUGUCGAUGUCGACGUGAAGAAAUAGUUCCUGUUAGCAAGGAAAAAUCUUUUCUCUCUUAUGGUUUUCUGUUCUUCUUCUGGCGCUUCAUCGAGUUGAGUCGAUUCGGACGGAAGAGCCGUUGGUGUCACUCUGAAACAGGACAAACAAGUUUUUAAUUUUAAAAUCUAAAAUCCAGAAUGUUGAUUUACUUUAGCGUUGCAGACGGAUUGAUGGCAAAUUGAGGCUCGUUUUCGAAAUCCUCGGUUGACCUCUUCUUCCGGCCACAAGGACCCGCUCCUGCCGCUACCUGGAACUGUGGAACGCAUUUCACCACGGACGUUAGAGACAAAGUGGCUGUAGUAGUUAUAACAGCCGUGCUGGUGCUGGUGGUGGACGUGGUCGAUGUACUCAUGACUGUGCUGGUCGAUAAGGUAACUACAGUGCUUGUACUUGUAGUCGUCGUAGUGUAAGUAUUCAAAAAUGGGUAGCGCACGUUUCCAUUGCCCGUGUAGCCAUUGUUUCCGAAACUAGCACCAAGUAGAAACCGUUGCGCAGGUUCGUUAUUGGACGAUGACGACUUCUUAUUACCGAAACCUCGGAUUCUUGAUUGAGUAUCCGGAAAUUCGUUCGUGUCAUUUUGAAUAUCUUUGGAAACCGUGUCCAAGUUUUCAGGCUAAAAAAACAACAAAAUAAUUGUCCAGUCAAAGAGCAAUUACAUUUUUGACAAUUUGAAUUCAAUCAUUUACUAUGGGCAUUACUAGUGGCUGGUAAUGACUGAGAAAAUCUUGUGGCGGAUAGGGCGAUAGCCAAAACGUUCGAGAGUAUGGCUGACGAAGGUAAAACUGUUGAGAAAUGACCACCAGGGCCAUCAAGAAGACUAACGCCAAUUUCAUCUAAAAUUUACAAUUUUUAAUGAAUUGAAUUUUUCAUAAACAUCAAAGUUAACUAUGACGUUUUUUGUUUUGUUUUUUACCUUGUGACAGGAAGGAUGGAAAUGGAUCCGAUUCAGCGCGAAAGAACUGCUGAUGCGGUUCUGUUUCUGGAACAACUUGCGACCGGGCUUUUAUACAACGACCAAAUACUCUUCGGUGUUUCACUACCAUCUUCGUGAAAUGCCCGUGACAUUUUACGAGAACGGACACUUUUUUUUUCAGGGCAUCGUUUACUGCUAUUUAAGCUGUAUGGAAAUUUCAAUGUCACAGCAAAUCUCGGUGAUUAUCAACUAGAAAGAAAAGCAGUUCAUAAAAAUACGUUUAACAAAAAAAGUUGUGUUCUUGUGACAGUUAAGCACCGUUGGGACUGGAUAUAAAAGAGCUGGCAUGGACUAUUUUCUAAACAUUAUGGGAGGACUACGACGCUUCGACAUCCUUGCCACAGCAUUUUGGCUUAAAACGACAGGACAAAACACAAUUCACUUUGCAUAUUUUGGAUUACUCAAACCAUAAGCUUCCAAAUCAACGAGAAGGACAAGGAUUUGCUUGCUGAUAUUCCCUUAAUCAGUGACAGAAACAGCCGGACCAUUCAUGUCGUCAUGUUUCGCGUGCCCAAUACGGCCCAGUCAGAAUUCCGGUCCACCCUAACUACGGCAAGCUUUAACUACCAAUCAACAAUUCGGAGGGAUUAUUCCAGAAUCUGCAAACGUAAGCCUUUUUAAACGAUAAAAAGUGGCUUACGUCUGUAAUUAGCCCUGCCCAGCAAAGUGCGUCCAUUUAUGCGAGGAAGCAACCAUGACGCAUUUUCCGCGUUCUAUUUUCGUGGGCUGCAUAAUCCCACUAAGCCUGAUUGGUUCCAUCGUCAUCUAAAAUAAUACGUCGUCGGUUCAUCUCCUAUCAAAUCGGAUUAGAAAAUUGUGUAAAGGAAAAAGCGGUGUAGGCGUGCAUUAUGCGUGUAAAUUUCGUGACUGUCUACGUAUGUUGGCGAACGUUCGUGACCCUUAAUGGGCUAAAUGCUUGAAUUUUGCCUAGUCGUAAAGCUGCAUUGUGACGUUAGAAUAAUUUUAAUGAUUUCUUUCCUAUGCCGAGCUUCAAUGAAAUCAUUUUCCGCUUUUUUUUUUUCAAAGCGUUGGAAAUGGGAUUUGCUUUCUCAAUGACAAACUUAACAAAAGAAAGGACAUUGACCUACGUGGGUAGUGUCGCAUAUCCUUGUUUGAAAUUUUUUUAAAGAAAUAUUAUUAUCGUGCAACAAAAGCAUUUAAAUCAUGAGUCAUUAUAACACUUAAUAAAUUGUGUAUUUUUUUUUUACUGGCUGGAUCAGUUGUCAAACGCAGAUUUUUCGUGACAGGAUCGUCCAUUUAAAAGGAUUACGCACCUUGGGCGUAAAUCACUCACGGUUGAAUAUAAAUGCACUGCUCAACUGUAUAUUUAUUAAAUCUAAUGUUUCUUUCUCGUGAAAUUGAAAUGUCAGUUGACUAUUACCAAAAGCGAGGAAGUGGCAAUCCAUGAAUUACUUACCUUUCCUUACGAGACUUUUUAAGGGAAGGGUGCGGUAGAGAUUGUACCCCGUCCUUCUCCGCGUUUUGCACCUUUCCUACUCUU
rnacentral:lncRNA from 1 species